UACGUAGGGUGCAAGCGUUGUCCGGAAUUAUUGGGCGUAAAGGGCUCGUAGGCGGUCCGUCACGUCGGGAGUGAAAUCCUGGGGCUUAACCCCAGAACUGCUUCCGAUAUGGGCAGACUAGAGGUAGGUAGGGGAGAAUGGAAUUCCUGGUGUAGCGGUGGAAUGCGCAGAUAUCAGGAGGAACACCAGUGGCGAAGGCGGUUCUCUGGGCCUUACCUGACGCUGAGGAGCGAAAGCGUGGGGAGCAAACAGG
rnacentral:rRNA from 1 species